AUACGGAGGGUGCGAGCGUUAAUCGGAAUUACUGGGCGUAAAGGGUGCGUAGGCGGCUUGAUAAGUCGGAUGUGAAAGCCCCGGGCUUAACCUGGGAAUUGCAUUCGAUACUGUCAGGCUAGAGUAUGUCAGAGGUUGGCGGAAUUCCUGGUGUAGCGGUGAAAUGCGUAGAUAUCAGGAGGAACACCAGUGGCGAAGGCGGCCAACUGGGGCAAUACUGACGCUGAGGCACGAAAGCGUGGGGAGCAAACAGGAUUAGAAACCCUAGUAGUCC
rnacentral:rRNA from 1 species